rnacentral:misc_RNA from 1 species
CUCACUUUCAACUCCAAACGACUCCAGCCAAUACCCGCGCCCAUUUCUGAGACAACCUUCUUAUCCUUUCGCCGACAGAUCUCAACUCUCGCCAUGUCUCGCCGUCCUAACUUCCAGGGCGGCCGCCGAGGUGGCGGCGGCGGCAGCAGUAGUAGCGCACCUGGUCGCGGUGGCGGAGGACGUGGAGGAGGAGGAGGAGGAGGAGGACGAGGACGUGGUGAGCAGCGGUGGUGGGACCCAGUGUGGCGAGCGGAGCGCUUGAGACAGAAAGCCGUUGAGAUGGAAGUUCUUGAUGAGAAUGAAUGGUGGAAUAAGAUGGAGAAAAUGAAGAAUGGAGGAGAUCAGGAGAUGAUUGUAAAGCGUAAUUACAGUCGUGAUGACCAGCAAACCCUCUCUGACAUGGCUUAUCAAUUGAGUCUUUACUUCCAUGCAUAUAAUAAAGGCAAGACUCUUGUGGUUAGCAAAGUUCCGUUGCCAAAUUAUC